rnacentral:rRNA from 1 species
CCUUUGACGUUAGCGGCGGACGGGUGAGUAACACGUGGGUAACCUACCUAUAAGACUGGGAUAACUUCGGGAAACCGGAGCUAAUACCGGAUAAUAUUUCGAACCGCAUGGUUCGAUAGUGAAAGGUGGUUUUGCUAUCACUUAUAGAUGGACCUGCGCCGUAUUAGCUAGUUGGUAAGGUAACGGCUUACCAAGGCGACGAUACGUAGCCGACCUGAGAGGGUGAUCGGCCACACUGGAACUGAGACACGGUCCAGACUCCUACGGGAGGCAGCAGCC